UACGUAGGGUGCAAGCGGUAAUCGGAAUUACUGGGCGUAAAGCGUGCGCAGGCGGUUUUGUAAGACAGGCGUGAAAUCCCCGGGCUCAACCUGGGAAUUGCGCUUGUGACUGCAAAGCUGGAGUGCGGCAGAGGGGAAUGGAAUUCCGCGUGUAGCAGUGAAAUGCGUAGAUAUGCGGAGAAACAACAAUGGCGAAGGCAAUCCCCUGGUCCUGUACUGACGCU
rnacentral:rRNA from 1 species